CUCGAGGCCAGAUCUUUCCGGUUGAUCCCGCCGGAAGCUACCGCUAUUGGAGUUCGAUUAAGCCAUGCGAGUCGAGAGUCUUAGGGACUCGGCGUACCGCUCAGUAACACGUGGGUAACCUGCCCUAUGCUGGGGAAUAACCUCGGGAAACUGAGAAUAAUGCCCCUUAGUCCACCAUGCCUGGAACGGUUGGUGGAUCAAAGCUCCGGCGGCAUAGGAUGGGCCUGCGGCGUAUCAGGUCGUAGGGGGUGUAACGUACCCUCUAGCCAUCGACGCGUACGGGUGUUGGGAGACAUAGCCCGGAGAUGGAUUCUGAGACACGAAUCCAGACCCUACGGGGUGCAGCAGGCGCGAAAACUUGGCAAUGCGAGAAAUCGUGACCAGGGAACUCCAAGUGGCUGGGGUAAGACCCAGUCUUUUCUUGACUCUUCAACGGUCUUGGAAUAAGGGGUGGGUAAGGACGGUGCCAGCCGCCGCGGUAAUACCGGCGCCUCAAGUGGUAGUCGAUUUUAUUGGGCCUAAAACGUCCGUAGCCUGUUUGGUACAUUCGUGGGUAAA
rnacentral:rRNA from 1 species